rnacentral:lncRNA from 1 species
GGCUUUGACGUUGUAAUUAAUAUUAGUAAGCUAACACGGACGAUGAUUAGUGUGCUAACGUACGCUUCCUCACUCUCUCCCCACGAGCGAUCGGCACCGUUUGUUUCGUGUUACGUAGGAUCUACGCGUUUUUUACCUUGUGAAUCCUAUAAUAGAUUAUCAAUGAGAACCAAAAAAAAAAACAUAUAUAUAUCUACUUUCGUUCUUUUGAUUAUAUAGAGCUGUUUUAAAAUUUACCGAUUUUCAGUGAAAAUGUCAAAGUAACCAAGAAACAAAUCUAAUAUGAAUAUGUUUGGAACAGUUUCAUUUUAUAGGGUUUCUUACAAUUAGUUAUUCUCAAGUUCA